AUAGGGAGUUGCUACUUCAAAAACAAGAGUGUGUUCAGUGUUACAUUCAGUGCUCACACAGUCAUCAACAAGACAUAAAGGAAAUCAAACCCAUUAGAAGCCUUUAUGGAUGUUCUGAAAACAUGAAGAAAUCUGCCAAAGAGCUGAAUGCGGUGCUCGUGGGAUCAAAAAGCUCCCUGAAAUGCCUAGUUGGAAACAUCAUCCUGGGAAGAGAGGUGUUUGAUCCAAGAGAUUUAACAUCCCGCUGUGAGAGGGGAGAGAGAGAAAUAUUCGGGCGAACAGUCACAUUGGUCACUACCCCAGGUUGGCUGCGUGGAUAUACCCUGUAUCAUACACCAGAACUUUUCAAGACAGAAGCGAUUCUCAGUGUCACUCUAUGUCCACCUGGACUGCAUGGUUUUAUCCUGGUGAUUAAUGCUGAACUACCAUUCAAAAAAGACUCCAAGAAGGCAACAAGUGAGCACUUGCAACACUUUUUUGGUGACAAGGUGUGGGAUCACACGAUCGUGGCCUUCAGCCAAAGAGGCCAGGUAGGCCACAAAACCAUAGAGGAUUACAUCACGAGGGAAGGAGCGCCACUCCAGUCGCUUUUAGAGGCAUGUGGUAACAGAUAUCUCACUCUUUAUGACGAUGGCACCGACAACAACGUAAAGGUCAAAGAGCUGUUUGAGAAGAUUGACGCAAUGGUGGCAAAAAAUGGAUGGUAUGAAGCAGACAGUACGCUGGUGCAAAGUAUUGAGUUGAAGAGGAAGGGAGUGGCCCAAAAAGCCGAGGAGUUGCGUCUUCAAUCACAACAACAAAGACAAGAGCUCAGAAAUCUCCUGACAGAGCCAACACCCAACCUCAGGAUCUUGAUGGUCGGAUGGGUGUUUUCCGGGAAGAGUUUCAGUGGGAACACUAUUUUGAGCGCUGAGGGGUUUCAUUCUGGUGACAGAACAGUGAAAGCUUUAAAGCAAAGCGGCGAGGUGGGUGGAAGAGAGGUCGUCAUUGUGGACACUCCUGGAUGGUGGAAAUUCUUCCCAGCAAUGUUUACCCCUUCAACUUUGAGGUCUGAGAUUUUGAAUGGAGUGUCUCUGUGCUCACCAUCACCAAAUGUAAUUUUGCUGGCAGUGCCGGUUGACACAUCGUUCACCGACGAACAGAGAAGUGUGGAGACAUGUUAUCGUGUUGUUUACAUUCGGGGACGCUAUGGGGGACAAAACUAUUGAGCAACACAUUGAAAGUGAAGGCAAGGCUCUCCGUUGGCUUAUUGAGAAAUGUGGAAACAGGUAUCAUGUCCUAGACAAUAUGAGGAAUGCUGAUGAUCAGGUAACAGAGCUGCUGCAAAAGAUGGAGGAGAUGGUGGCAGGAAACAGCUCUUUUUACGUCAGUCCCUACCCUGAAACCGGUAAUCCACAUACUGAGGAAGACAGAAGUGAUGAUACAACUGAAAACAAAGAUGAGAACACAACCAAGGAGAUCACAGAACAACUUUUCAUUGAGUGGGAUCGCAGUAACUGGGAAAAACACUAUAGCUAUCACAGUAUGGCCUCCCCACUAAACAUGAGUGAAGACAAGCAGACAUCUGGGAGUUCAGAAGGAGAGAAAGAACAAAUGGAGCACCGACAUGAAGAUGACUUUGAGACUUACUUUGGUGCUGCAAGUAAAGGCGAUGCAGCAUCUGGGCCUCUGAACAGAUGGAUGGGACUGCUGGAGAGAGAGUGGAGCAGACGAGAGGUGGCCAUGGAGCAGGCUUGGACAUAUUUCUGCAAAGACGGGAAUGCUGACUCCGAGCCAGAUAGGUAUCGACUGCUGAAAUCAAGAGAAAAAGUAAGAUUGUGGCUGAAAACCCAACAUACACCAUCUGCGCACGGUACAGAUUCUGGGAUAGACUCAAUCACCACUGAGAAACCGGUGGAAGAAAUACUGAGAGAAGACUACAGGGAGACUGUGAAAGACACUGAGAAUUGACACUCGCUGUCACAUCAUGGUCUCGUCCAAGACCGGUAAGUUCUGUGUCGUGGCAGUGUUGAUUUAUGUAGCAGUGACCUCCGCAACGCAUUCUGUCGCCUCCAUUCCACAAUACAACGAAAGAGUAAAUGUACAUUUAUGUGUAAACAUGUAAAAAGUCCUGCUAGCAAGCCUUUUACCAGUACUAUUUUGGCCAUUUCUUGCCUCAUUUGU